rnacentral:rRNA from 1 species
AACGAACGCUGGCGGCAUGCCUAACACAUGCAAGUCGAACGAGACCUUCGGGUCUAGUGGCGCACGGGUGCGUAACGCGUGGGAAUCUGCCCUUGGGUUCGGAAUAACAGUUAGAAAUGACUGCUAAUACCGGAUAAUGUCUUCGGACCAAAGAUUUAUCGCCCAGGGAUGAGCCCGCGUAGGAUUAGCUAGUUGGUGAGGUAAAGGCUCACCAAGGCGACGAUCCUUAGCUGGUCUGAGAGGAUGAUCAGCCACACUGGGACUGAGACACGGCCCAGACUCCUACGGGAGGCAGCAGUGGGGAAUAUUGGACAAUGGGCGAAAGCCUGAUCCAGCAAUGCCGCGUGAGUGAUGAAGGCCUUAGGGUUGUAAAGCUCUUUUGUCAGGGAAGAAUAUUUUGACGGUACCUAACGAAUAAGAGGUUGCUAACUCUGUGCCAGCAGCCGC